ensembl:snoRNA
UGGCUUGGUUUCCUGGGAGGUGAGCUCAGCAUACCCCAUUUCCCUUCAGCCAAGCCUAGAUGAGAGAGGCCAGGCAUCCUCCCUGUGCAAGAGGCAUUCAAAUAAGGGGUCUCACCUGGGCUAUCCAAGCCUCACAUUA